AUCAUUAUUGUAGGUUGUUGGCUUGGUUAGUUGUCCUCAAUCUUGUUCGAGUAAAAUCAGGAAAACAGAACAGUGUAGGUUACAAGAAAUCAAACUGUGUCAAAGACUUUCAAUGAAAAACAAGUGCACAUCAUCGUAAGAAGCGAUGGGCUCCUUUUGAAAGCAACAGAUGAGGUAAACUCAUCAAAAUGUAUCGAGCACAAGGUUGAAAGAAAAAAUACAUUGAAGCAAAAGAACCAGUAAAGCAAAGCAAACGUCUACUCUAGAAUGUGAACUUCAGUCGCCAUUUUGACCAUAUCAACGACUCAUUAUUGAUGAUAAUCACUAAGUUCUUUCAAAACGAAGAAACAAGCAAACACGUUAAUUAUGAAGAGUCGCGAAGACAAAAUAGAAUAAAUAAUUGAAAAAUGGUUGAUAUCAUCGUCAUAUCAAUGGUUGAGAACGGUAGCAGCUUUCCAAAAUGAAAUGGCAGAUCUUUCUGGGGUUUAUUCAGAUGUCAUUAUUUAGAGAUGUUUGGUACCCCUGGCUAUAUUAUUAACCGUCGUUACGUGGAGUGGCAUUGCCAUGCUGCAUAAGAAUUUAUCUACGUCAUAUUUUCCUUAGAUUGUUUUGUUCACAAGACCUAUUUGAGAUUUGAUGAUGAAUAAUUGCAUUUGUGCAUCAUUGAUGCGGGUGGAAGAAGUGACAACUGAAAAACAAGCAAUUUAACUGGUGUUAAAAGAUCUCUAGCAUUUUGUAUGAACGUGUGUUAAUCCCCAUACAUAUUCAUGCAAGGGUUAGUAUCUGAUCCUGCUCAAUAGUCUAUUCCAUUAGCUACGUACGUCGAAGUUGCGCGGAACAACAAACAUAGAAACAACUAUUUACUGAUGUUUUAUCAUACGAUUUUUAGUUAAUGGGAAUAACUCAAACCACUUUAUUGUGGUAGGCUUAUUUCUUUAAAUGAUGAAUAUGAUAGAACGGCAAGUAAUAUCAGUUGUGUGAGAAGCAUAAAGAAAAUAAUGGACAGCGAUUUAUUGAGUUCGAUAGAUCAGUUGAAGAAGAAACGUUUGUUGGGAAAUAGAGGACUGAACACUUGUAUUCAUUUUGAUUAUCUACCUUCAUCACCAUUGACAGUUCUUGGUCUGCGUGUUUGAAGCCUAAUUUAAUAUAAGAUCACAUGCAACUGUUACGAUUGUUUCGUCGCCAGUGCUGUUGAAACAAAUAUAUGCAACUGUCGUUGUAUUUAAUGUGCAAGAAGUGAAAAAGUAGAGUAACCUGUGAUGAAUACAAGAAGGCAUAAAAUCUUUCCGCCUAUUCACAAUAUUUCAGAAAUUAGAAAAAUUAGGAAGCUGGAGAAAAACUAAGAAGAAUGCAAAAGGGAAAUUAGGAAUAUUUCAAAACGUAUCUUGGUCGUGCAGAACUUCCCGCUCGCUGGCUGGCAGGGAAGGUAGGAUUCGAAGUUAGAUGCACCUGUUAUAUAUUUUCCCUUUGUAUGGUUUUGACAAAGCGGGUCAAUUUAUUCUUUCGCCAUUUGUUUUUAUCGUCGUGUAUUUAGUAUUGUUGUAAAUACACAACAAAGAUUGCCGAAGGUAGCGAGAAUUAACUUUGCCGUUUUUCCGGUUUAUGGGUGAUUGUUCGUAGCUAAUUAGCUAUAAUUGUUAUAACAUGGUUUGACCAUUUUCUGAUUUGAAAUUUCGAUGAAGUCGCGGCAAAUAAUUCCAAGCUAGACUUUAAGAAACAAAAGUUUGUUUUUUGUGUGCAAUAUUUAUGCAUGCUUAUUAAAUUAAAAAUCACUCCAACAACGGUUGGUGAUCGGCUCUUUUUUGAGUUUCAAUCAAAAGUUCAUCGUCAGAAUCGUUAAGGGAAAAGACCGAAAUCGAAUUUGAUAAAAAAGAAACGUUUAUAACCGUAGAGCUCUAACGUUGGUGAUUCAUUUUCACGAUCCAAGCUGUACAUUUAAAUAAUAAAAGCAAAGCUUGCGGACCAACUGAAAGUGCUGAAGUGAUAAGACUAUUUUAAUAUGUCUGUCUUCUUAUAAACUGCUUAUCUGUCAAAUAUGACGAUGUGCGCUCCGAUUAGUGAAACUCGUUCCUCAACACUUUAAUUUGAGUUUUUGUUUCUUUAUCUUCCUGUGUAUUGGUAAAUGUUGGUAUUUUUCUUAGAAUUGCAAUUAAUAUUUCAAACUUUAUUUUUGAAUCGUAUACAAAGAAAUCCAGCUUCUAGAGCUAAAACUUGUCUCUUACAUCAACAGUUAUCAAUUGUUUUUGAUUAGACAUAUUAGAAAACCGUGACUCGUCAUUAGCCAUAAAACACUUUUGUCGUUUUUCCCGUCAUAUUUUAGCGUAACCUGGAGCGAAGUGGGACACUUUUUCAUUCAUUACAAUGUAGCUGCACAAUAUUGACCAAAUUUGUCCAAAACAAUCCUUGUCAUCUAAUAAUUAUUUGGUAGUAAUUUUAAAAACAGACUCCAUCUUAAGGUCAUGCUAUGAUCAUUCAGGUGUGUGAUCGUUAGGUGUCUCACUUUGUUACCAAUUGGAAAUUAUACGAGACUUACCUUAA